UUGCUGUCUCACUGUGCCAAAGACCUGGGCUUGAUCAUGACCUUGUGUGCUGUCUAUGUGCAGU